rnacentral:lncRNA from 1 species
AUAGGAGACCUCUCAGGAAAGCCCAGGGUGCUGUACGUGGUGCACAGGAGAUGCAGGAGCUGUGACGGUUCCCCUUCAGAAAGGAAGCAGGAAAUGCACUGAGGUUCUGAAGGGCAAGCCUGCAAUAUGCUUUACUCUUCAGCAAAUUGCACAGCUUCAGGAGGAUGCUCAGAGAUUUCAGAUGCACCAGCCUUGUCUGCAAUUGGCCCUAGCUUUGUAUGGAUCAUUUUGGACUGUUUUCAGGAGUUUAAUGUUAGUAACCUGGAAGCAAUCAUCUGUGUGUGGGCAACUACUGAAAUGGAAGACAAGAAAACCUGUAUAAAAAUUGUGAAGGACCUGUAA